UACGGAGGGAGCUAGCGUUGUUCGGAAUUACUGGGCGUAAAGCGCACGUAGGCGGCUUUGUAAGUUAGAGGUGAAAGCCCGGGGCUCAACCCCGGAAUUGCCUUUAAGACUGCAUCGCUUGAAUCCAGGAGAGGUGAGUGGAAUUCCGAGUGUAGAGGUGAAAUUCGUAGAUAUUCGGAAGAACACCAGUGGCGAAGGCGGCUCACUGGAUCGGUACUGACGCUGAGGUGCGAAAGCGUGGGGAGCAAACAGG
rnacentral:rRNA from 1 species